rnacentral:rRNA from 1 species
AAGGGCAAAGUCAGAGGAAACUCUGAUGGAGGCUCGGAAGGGGUUCUGACGUGCAAAUCGAUCUUCAAACUUGGGGUAUAGGGGCGAAAGACUAAUCGAACCAUCUAGUAGCUGGUUCCCUCCGAAGUUUCCCUCAGGAUAGCUGGAACUUAUGAAGAAGUAGUUUUAUCAGGUAAAGCGAAUGAUUAGAGGCUUUGGGGAAGAAACUUCCUCGACCUAUUCUCAAACUUUAAAUAGGUAAGAUUUGAAGGAUACUUAAGUGAUCUUUCAAUAUUUUGAAUAUAAAGUUCUUAGUGGGCCAUUUUUGGUAAGCAGAACUGGCGAUGUGGGAUGAACCGAACGUUAAGUUAAAGUGCCAAAUAAUACGCUCAUGAGAUACCAUAAAAGGUGUUGGUUCAUUUUGACAGCAGGACGGUGGCCAUGGAAGUCGGAACCCGCUAAGGAGUGUGUAACAACUCACCUGCCGAAUGAACUAGCCCUGAAAAUGGAUGGCGCUUAAGCGUAUAACUUAUACUUAACCCUUACUUGAAUCAUCAUAACGAGUAAGGAGUAGGAGGGC